rnacentral:rRNA from 1 species
UUUGAUUAUGGCUCAGAUUGAACGCUGGCGGGAUGCUUUACACAUGCAAGUCGAACGGCAGCACGGACUUCGGUCUGGUGGCGAGUGGCGAACGGGUGAGUAAUGUAUCGGAACGUGCCUAGUAGCGGGGAUACGCGAAAGCGUAGCUAAUACCGCAUACGCCCUUCGGGGGAAAGCGGGGACCUUUCGGGCCUCGCACUAUUAGAGCGGCCGAUAUCGGAUUAGCUAGUUGGUGGGGUAACGGCUACUCAAGGCGACGAUCCGUAGCUGGUUUGAGAGGACGACCAGCCACACUGGGACUGGAGACACGGCCCAGACUCCUACGGGAGGUAGCAGUGGGGAAUUUUGACAAUGGGGAAACCCUGAUCCAGCCAUCCCGCGUGUGCGAUGAAGGCCUUCGGGUUGUAAAGCACUUUUGGCAGGAAAGAAACGGCACGGGAUAAUACCCCGUGCAACUGACGGUACCUGCAGAAUAAGCACCGGCUAACUACGCCAGCAGCCGCGGUACGUAGGUGCAAGCGUUAAUCGGAAUUACUGGGCGUAAAGCGUGCGCAGGCGGUUCGGAAAGAAAGAUGUGAAAUCCCAGAGCUUAACUUUGGAACUGCAUUUUUAACUACCGAGCUAGAGUGUGUCAGAGGGAGGUGGAAUUCGGCGUGUAGCAGUGAAAUGUAGAUAUGCGGAGGAACACCGAUGGCGAAGGCAGCCUCCUGGGAUAACACUGACGCUCAUGCACGAAAGCGGGGGAGCAAACAGGAUUAGAUACCCUGGUAGUCCACGCCCUAAACGAUGUCAACUAGCUGUUGGGGCCUUCGGCCUUGGUAGCGCAGCUAACGCGUGAAGUUGACCGCCUGGGGAGUACGGUCGCAAGAUUAAAACUCAAAGGAAUUGACGGGGACCUGCACAAGCGGUGGAUGAUGUGGAUUAAUUCGAUGCAACGCGAAAAAAAAACCUUACCUACCUUGACAUGUCUGGAAUCCCGAAGAGAUUUGGGGAGUGCUCGCAAGAGAACCGGAACACAGGUGCUGCAUGGCUGUCGUCAGCUCGUGUCGUGAGAUGUUGGGUUAAGUCCUGCAACGAGCGCAACCCUUGUCAUUAGUUGCUACGAAAGGGCACUCUAAUGAGACUGCCGUGGUGACAAACCGGAGGAAGGUGGGGAUGACGUCAAGUCCUCAUGGCCCUUAUGGGUAGGGCUUCACACGUCAUACAAUGGUCGGGACAGGGUCGCCAACCCGCGAGGGGGAGCCAAUCCCAGAAACCCGAUCGUAGUCCGGAUCGCAGUCUGCAACUCGACUGCGUGAAGUCGGAAUCGCUAGUAAUCGCGGAUCAGCAUGUCGCGGGUGAAUACGUUCCCGGGUCUUGUACACACUGCCCGUCACACCAUGGGAGUGGGUUUUACCAGAAGUAAAGUUAGCCUAACUGCAAGGAGGGCGAUUACCACGGUAGGAUUCAUGACUGGGGUGAAGUCGUAACAAGGUAGCUCUAGCCACUGCUCC